rnacentral:rRNA from 1 species
UUGGUUUUGGCAUCGAUGAAGAACGCAGCGAAAUGCGAUAAGUAGUGUGAAUUGCAGAAUUCAGUGAAUCAUCGAAUCUUUGAACGCACAUUGCGCCCUUUGGUAUUCCAAAGGGCAUGCCUGUUCGAGCGUCAUUUGUACCCUCAAGCUUUGCUUG